rnacentral:rRNA from 1 species
CACGUAGGCGGAACAGAAAGUCAGAGGUGAAAUCCCAGGGCUCAACCUUGGAACUGCCUUUGAAACUCCUGUUCUUGAGGUCGAGAGAGGUGAGUGGAAUUCCGAGUGUAGAGGUGAAAUUCGUAGAUAUUCGGAGGAACACCAGUGACGAAGGCGGCUCACUGGCUCGAUACUGACGCUGAGGUGCGAAAGCGUGGGGAGCAAACA